GUUACUCGGAAUUACUGGGCGUAAAGCGCGCGUAGGCGGUUCGUUAAGUUGGAUGUGAAAUCCCCGGGCUCAACCUGGGAACUGCAUUCAAAACUGUCGAGCUAGAGUAUGGUAGAGGGUGGUGGAAUUUCCGGUGUAGCGGUGAAAUGCGUAGAUAUCGGAAGGAACACCAGUGGCGAAAGCGGCUUCCUGGUCCAGCACCGACGUUCAGGCACGAAAGCGUGGGGAGCAAACAGG
rnacentral:rRNA from 1 species